rnacentral:rRNA from 1 species
AUACGGAGGGUGCAAGCGUUAAUCGGAAUUACUGGGCGUAAAGCGUACGUAGGCGGUUCGUUAAGUUAGAUGUGAAAGCCUCGGGCUUAACCUGGGAACUGCAUUUAAAACUGGCGAACUAGAGUUGAGUAGAGGGGAGUGGAAUUUCAGGUGUAGCGGUGAAAUGCGUAGAGAUCUGAAGGAACACCAGUGGCGAAGGCGGCUCCCUGGACUCAAACUGACGCUGAGGUACGAAAGCGUGGGUAGCAAACGGGAUUAGAAACCCUAGUAGUCC